rnacentral:lncRNA from 1 species
CGGCCUCUUAGUCUCGCUGACCAGGGCGGGCGCAGCCGCGGCUACUUGGUAGCGGGUUCGGGGCCCGGCCGCGCCUGCGGCGGCGAGAGCCAUUCUGGACCGACCUCGGGCCUGCGGAGGUUGUGUGCGGCGUCUGCGGGGUGCAGCGGCCUCAGUUCUGAGCGCAGGUUGAAAACUACAGGUACGGCCAUUGAAGCUGGAAUGCUCUGCCUUGAAUAUCUGUUUCCAACAACUGAACAAUCUCCAUCAACAAAAAGAAGUUUCAUUAUUACAAGUGACUAUUUCUGCCUAAAAGUGGCCACUCUCUCAUUCUUUUUUGAGAUGUUUCCAUAUAGAAUAACAUUGAUCUCUAGCUCCCUGUUUAGGGUUUCACUCCUAGCCUGCCGCUAACCUACUGAUUGUUCAAACGAGCUCACCGUGAAGAAAUAAAGUAGAAAUGCUUCCAUGUUGAGUCUCUCCUUCUGAGGUAACAGUUUGCUAGAUUCCUCCUAAUAAACUUCCAGCUCCAUGCUCUCUCCUUUGUCACACUCAGCUCUGCAGCUUCCACUCUGCUUAAAUCACGUACCUACAAAGCUGAAGGAAAAUGGUUGAAGAAGCCCAGCUCAUUUUAGAUUCAGCCUGAAGUUUCUCCAAGACCAAUGAAACAAAACUGUUGGAUUGUGCCCUGGAUAUGCACCCCAGAGGCAGGUUCCUGCGCAGCUCUCUUUUGGUUUAACCUCUACAGGAUCAUC